CUUUUUGUCUCUGCAGUAUGUAUGGCUGUUUGAAAUUGUCUUUUUUUUUUUUUCUUUUUUUGUAAAGACGGGGUUUCGCCAUGUUGCCCAGGCUGGUCGCAAACUCCUGGGCUCAAGCGAUCAUUCUGUCUUGGCUUCCCAAAGUGCUGGGAUUACAGACGUGAGUCACCACACCUGGUCGAAAUUUCUUUUUCAAAAUUUGUUUGCUUAUCCAUCUGUUUUACCCACUAGAACAUAUAAUAAAUUAUUUAAAAAAUGAAAUGUAAAGAUAACAGUUGUUUAUCCCAUAGAUUUGGAACAUGCGUUGAAAUGUCUUCAGCGUGAAGAUCCCAGUUUGAAAGUGAGGCUAGAUCCUGACUCUGGACAAACUGUUCUGUGUGGUAUGGGGGAGUUACAUAUAGAGAUUAUUCAUGAUCGAAUCAAGAGGGAAUAUGGACUGGAGACCUAUCUCGGGCCUCUCCAGGUGGCAUAUCGAGAGACCAUCCUAAACUCAGUUCGUGCCACAG
rnacentral:lncRNA from 1 species